rnacentral:lncRNA from 1 species
CAGCAGAGACCGGCAGCGGCGGGCGGCCCGCGUGGGCUACUGCUGGGGGCUGCGUUCGGGCGAGGAGGGGAGAUUCUGUCUCAGAGGCCUCGGGCUGCACGUUCUUCCGGGCCGCGCAUUUGCAGCCCACAGCAGGCCCCAGCCGGCCCCUCUGGAGUUGGGCCACUGCUUCUGCAGGCCCAGCAGGCCCCUGGGGGCGGCCGGAGGCCACUAACUGGCUUCUCCAGCUCAGCAUUCUUCUCUCAUUUGCUGGGUACCCCACUCUCUUCUCUACCCCUUUGAACCAUCUUUACCCUCAUUCCUCAGGGAACGUUUAACGAGUUGAAUGUUUACCAUGUAGUCACUCUAUAUGGAAAUCAUAAUUCAAUUUUGUAAACAUCAGACUUUGACAAAACAAAUGAUGAUGUUCUUAAGGAAAGCAGAGAGACACAGUGUGAAAUCGCUGCUCUCAGAUCAGCACACGGGAGAGGCCAGCAGUCAGGAGGGGGCUCACCGAGUUUGUCUGCACUCGCUCCCUCCGCAGCCGCCCUCUCCAGCUGGAAGAAGUCGUAAUCGAACCUGCUCAGGUCCUCACUGCCCCACUCCGAAGGAAACCCCACGUACAGGUGAGGUCAGAGGAGUGAAGUGACUUGCCCAAGACCACACAGUGAGUCAGGAGCAGGCCUGUCCCUCCAGCAGUGGUGCCAUGUUGUCCCCAAGCCAUGGUGGCAGAGGAGCUGGUGUGAACGCCCCAUCCUGCCACGUCUGUGAUGUGGGCACCUCACAUGACUGUCCCCUCCCAGCUCUUGGGGGGGACCUAGGACAUUCUGUGAGCCUGCAGGAAAGUUUACCAAAUGCUGCAGCUUUGUCCUGGUGGUGAUGGGCACCCCGUUAACGGCAACCUUGCAUUUGCUAUGUGGAGUGACCGUCACUUUACCGUCGGCAUUUGUGAAGGAAGCGUGUUUAUCUGAAAUUCUAAGAAGAUGAGAGUCAAAGACACCCAGCAAACGGCGGUUUCCGUGAGCAGGUAGGCUGACCUUUCUCAUGUGCACAGGAGGGAAGGUCUACAGCUGCGGAGGAUGGCAGGUGGCAUCUCGGGGCCUCCUGUGUGCUGUGGCCCAUGAUGCAUGGGGACAGCAGCGGGCGCAGAAGGACCCUGCCCUUGGGGAGCACGGGGAGCUGGGAGACAGCAGGCAAGGGCUUCAUUAACAGAACGAACACCAGCUGAGGGCCUAGCACUGCGGGGAGCCGGCCAAGGCCACACUGGAGUCCUCCCGCUCCCAGGCCAGCGGGAUGGGGUGGUGGGAAGAUGGCAGCAAGCAAGCUUCAGAAGAGACGCUCAGGAGGCGACUCUUAACGAGCCUCACCUACUCCGGGUACGUUUUGAUCUGUUUCUGCGCCCUCGCCGUAUAAAUUCAGACCUUAUAGGAUUUGGGGCUGGACGUCGGGGUGUCAGGUUGGCAUCCCCUCUCCCCGCCCUGCUCCCCUGCACCGAUGUCAUCUGUGUGUCCUGAAUGACUGGCUCCCUGCCUUAGCAUGUUCCAUGUUCCUGCACUCCUUGGCCAUCAUGGAAUGUUCUGGAUGUGGAGACCCGUGUGCAUCCAAACCCUUUUUUGCAUGGGGCCCAGGGAUCCUGUGGGAAAGGUUGCGGCCUCAUCACUGGAGUUCAGACAUUUACGCACCUGUGCGUUGGACUAAGGACGUGUUCUGGAAAGGGACUUGAGGGGGAUCCCCAGGAAGAUGUCCCAAGAAGGAGGCUGGCAGUGCAGGACGAGGCGGGGCCAGCCGGCCCCUGGGUCAGCACCCCUCCAGCCACGACGGCCCGUGGGCUUUCGUACGGGGGCAGGGGGUGAUCUGUCUGAAGGAUGUAGGUGAUGGUGCUUCCCAGCUGGAGAGCUGGAAGCAGGAGGAGGACACUCCAGCAGCAGCCUCCCAGGCAGGGCAGCCACAGAGCUGGGGACAGCUCUUGACUGGGUGAGGCCCGGCAUGGGGUUUCCCAGGGCUCCUGCGGGGCCUCCUGAGGGAGCCCUUGGGGUCACUCCACAGUCUGGGCUUUCUGUAGUCCGGUGGGUCAGGGCUCCAAGCACCAGGAGAGAUCCAGGGAUGCGCUUAUGUUUGGGCCACCCCCGGUGGGCUUGUUCGUUCAGCCCCCUUCGUUUCCUGGCCUGCUCUACUUAUAUCUGUUUGUGAAGAAUUAUUACACAGAAUCUAGAAACCAGCUUUCCCUUUUCUCCCAGGGUUGGAGCCCAGGAAGCAAACCAGCACUGCACCCUAGAUUUCAGCCAGAGGACGAAAGCCCUGCCCUCAGCUUUCUCAGACCAGCCCUGGAGUAGGUGGCCCGGGGAGACCUGGGCAGUGUCCCUGCUUGUCCUGCAGACUGUGUGGCUCUGCAGACCUCUAGAUGGAGGAGGCACAAUUCUCUAAUGCUGGACGAGGACACUGAUCAUGGAAACUCACCCCAAACCUUGAAUCGUGAUAGCAUUUGAGGCAGCCUGACCGGUGCCACAUGAACCUGAAAGGAAUCAAGAUAUAAUUUAUUUUGAAAAUAAAUCAGACACUUUCAGAA